rnacentral:tRNA from 1 species
GGUUCAAUAGUCAAAAAUGAUUUUAAAUUGCAAAUUUAAAGGUAAGCAAAAGUUUUUGGGCCU